rnacentral:rRNA from 1 species
AGUGAACGCUGGCGGUAGGCCUAACACAUGCAAGUCGAACGGCAGCACAGUAAGAGUUUGCUCUUACGGGUGGCGAGUGGCGGACGGGUGAGGAAUACAUAGGAAUCUACUUUUUCGUGGGGGACAACGUAGGGCAACUUACGCUAAUACAGCAUACGACCUACGGGUGAAAGCAGUGGUUCUUCGGACCUUGCGCGAUUGAAUGAGCCGAUGUCGGAUUAGCUAGUUGGCGAGGUAAAGGCACACCAAGGCGACGAUACGUAGCUGGUCUGAGAGGAUGAUCAGCCACACUGGAACUGAGACACGGUCCAGACUCCUACGGGAGGCAGCAGUGGGGAAUAUUGGACAAUGGGCGCAAGCCUGAUCCAGCCAUACCGCGUGAGUGAAGAAGGCCUUCGGGUUGUAAAGCCCUUUUGUUGGGGAAGAAAAGCAGCAGGUUAAUACCCCGCUGUUCUGACGGUACCCAAAGAAAAAGCACCGGCUAACUUCGUG